CAAUAGCGUAUAUUAAAGUUGUUGCGGUUAAAAAGCUCGUAGUUGGAUUUCAGUAGCAUUUAACAAUCCUUUGCGGCAUUGUUAGUGUUACAUUUCGAAAAUAAAACAAGGAUUGAUUUCUUUUGUUAUUUUUUGAAACUGUUACUUUGAGGAAAUUAGAGUGUUUAAAGCAGAUUAUUGUCAUGUAUAUAUUAGCAUGGAAUAACAAUAAGGAUUACAGUUCAUAUUUGUUGGUUUGAUUUCUGUAAUAAUGAUAAAUAGGGACAGUCGGGGGCAUUUGUAUUUAACAGUCAGAGGUGGAAUUCUUGGAUUUGUUAAGGACAUACUACUGCGAAAGCAUUUGCCAAGGAUGUUUUCAUUGA
rnacentral:rRNA from 1 species